UAAACUGGCGUGACAGGAGUUCCGGGAUUGUCCACAGCACGGUGAUGUGGAAGCCCUGGGGAGAGAAUGAUAAAGAAAGGGGAUGAGGAACAGCUCCACCCGGAAGAGCGGGCUUCCCUAGCAAAUGAAUCUGGAAGGGCGCAGGGGAGGGGGCACGGCGAGUUCAGAUGGACCGAGGCUGGAAGCUGACGCGGUUGGAGGGGGAUGGGUGUAGCUGUUGGCAGUGGCGCUGGGGUGGAAGUGUGUGGGGUCACAGAUGUGUAAGGGUGGGCGCGGAGCAGACCCCCGAAGGUCCCUGAGGUCAGGCUGAGGCAUUGGACCAAAUCCGUACAUAGGCAUUUCUCUGAACUGCGCGCCACCUUUUGAGUGCCAUCUGUUUCCGUCCAGGACUCUGAUACAACUAUCCAGUCCGCUGCAGGGACCGGUCACUGCGUCACAGGUUCUCCAGAGGGCCAGAACUAACAGGAUAUAUGUAUAUAUUGAAAGGGAGUAUAUUAGGGAGAACUGGCUGACAGGAUCAUCAGGCAAAGUCCCACUAUAGUCCAUCUGCAAGCUGAGGAAGGAAGAAGCCAGUCACGUCUC
rnacentral:sRNA from 1 species